rnacentral:ncRNA from 1 species
AAAGAGACUGGCGGAGAAGCAACAGUUGGAGGAAGAACGCAGGGUGGAGAACAUGGAGAAGUCUCGGGGAGAAACUGUGGUAUUGAACACUGGCUUAAUGGAAGAAGAUGAAGAGGAUGAAGAUCUGGAGGAAGAUUUUGAGAGAUUCGGCGUGGAUGAUGAUGAUGAGCAUAUAGCCUUGGCCGACAGGCCCGGGUAAUCUUUGAAAUUUCAUCGUGAUGGGGAUAGAUCAUUGCAAUUGUUGGUCUUCAACGAGGAAUUCCUAGUAAGCGCGAGUCAUCAGCUCGCGUUGACUACGUCCCUGCCCUUUGUACA